AUUUGCAUAUCCAUUAUAUGGGUCUGCAUCAUACAUGUGCAGAUAAAUAAUUAUCAGCCUGGUAGAGGAGAGGAAUUAUAUCUUGAAUUCAUUGAUGCCACAUCAUUUUGGUCCGUACUUUGUACAACUUGACUGUACAAUCAUGAUGCUUUGUUCACAACCUAUAUAAAAUAUUGUAUUAGUAACUUCAAAAUUAAUUUUGCAUAGCUUUUUGCUUAUGCCAAGAAAAUCGACAGAAUAUUUAUAGCACUCUGGGGGCAAAAUGUUAAGUUUCUAGGCAUGAUUUUUAUAUGCUAGAAUAUGUCUUUGACCUAUGGAAAAAAAGGGGUUCAUUAUUUGUUUUCAAGAGCUUAGGUGCAAGUAAGCAGCCCUACAUUCAACCAUAUUUCUUACUCUUCUAUCCAUGAAGUGUUUUCAAAUACUGUCUUUUUCUCUUGACAGAUGCCAUCCGAGGAAAAAACUCUUGACACGGCAUUGUGAAUAUUACUGGUUUUGCUACCACAACAUGCAAAAUAUGGUGUGGGUGAGAGGCCAAGAUCCGUGGAAUUAGAGGAUUUGCGGAGCACCUACUUUCAGCCUACAACUCCGCCGGCUCCGCGAGCCGAGUCUGGGAGCGGAGGGACACCGAACACUCCCAUAUUACCG